rnacentral:rRNA from 1 species
AUGAAGAUGCACCGCGCAUGCAAAAUCUGUGGAGAAAUAGGACACACCGAUAAGGAACACCAGGAUGGAUGCCCCUAUUGUGAAGCGAGCCACUUGGGUGAAGAAUGUCCCACUACGCAAGUCACCUGUUUCAUGUGUGAAGGGACUAACCACAAUCCAGCCCAGUGUCGUCUACUCACCACGACACAAGUGGUUCAGCAACAGAGGAAAGGAAUGAAGGAAGCUAUCCAGGAAUUCAUGGCAGCACCCAUGAAGAAAAGGAAGAAGAGGCGCUACGCCAAGAAGUGUAGAACAAGGGGCACUGUGCCAACGCGUGUCCAGAACUGA